GACGAACGCUGGCGGCGUGCUUAACACAUGCAAGUCGAACGGAAAGGCCCUGCUUUUGUGGGGUGCUCGAGUGGCGAACGGGUGAGUAACACGUGAGUAACCUGCCCUUGACUUUGGGAUAACUUCAGGAAACUGGGGCUAAUAUCGGAUAGGAGCUCCUGCUGCAUGGUGGGGGGUGGAAAGUUUCGGCGGUUGGGGAUGGACGCGCGGCUUAUCAGCUUGUUGGUGGGGUAGUGGCUUACCAAGCGUUUGACGGGUAGCCGGCCUUGGAGGGUGACCGGCCACAUUGGGACUGAGGUACGGCCCAGAGGCGUACGGGAGGCAGCAGUGGGGAAUAUUGCACAAUGGGCGGGAGCCUGAGGCAGCAACGCCGCGUGCGGGAUGCCGGCCUUCGGGUUGUAAACCGCUUUCGCCUGUGACGAAGCGUGAGUGACGGUAAUGGGUAAAGAAGCACCGGCUAACUACGUG
rnacentral:rRNA from 1 species